rnacentral:misc_RNA from 1 species
UGGCCCCAAUUUGAUAUUGGCCUGCAAAUUUAAUCCAAACAACAUCAAUUAACAGCACAACACAGAAGAACUAAUCAAGAACAGACCCAUGUGUUCAUCAAUUGCAAACUAUCAAUUUCCCCAGGCUUUCCUCGUAUAGAAAAACUAAAUGAAUUAAGCUCUUCUUGUCUGUACUGUGCCUAUUUUUGUUAAUCAAUCCUAGAAAAUACUAAUUCAUUAAAUAUAACAGCAUGUUUUAUAGAAUCAAUUUUUUAAAUUUGGUGUAACCCAG